rnacentral:rRNA from 1 species
AUUGAACGCUGGCGGCAGGCCUAACACAUGCAAGUCGAGCGGAUGAGUGGAGCUUGCUCCAUGAUUCAGCGGCGGACGGGUGAGUAAUGCCUAGGAAUCUGCCUGGUAGUGGGGGACAACGUUUCGAAAGGAACGCUAAUACCGCAUACGUCCUACGGGAGAAAGCAGGGGACCCUCGGGCCUUGCGCUAUCAGAUGAGCCUAGGUCGGAUUAGCUAGUAGGUGAGGUAAUGGCUCACCUAGGCGACGAUCCGUAACUGGUCUGAGAGGAUGGUUCGUCAAACUGGAACUGAGACAGGGUCCAGACGCCGACGGGAGGCAUCAGUGGGGAAUAUUGGACAAUGGGCGUAAGCCUGAUCCAGCCAUGCCGCGUGUGUGAAGAAGGUCUUCGGAUUGUAAAGCACUUUAAGUUGGGAGGAAGGGCAGUAAGUUAAUACCUUGCUGUUUUGACGUUACCAACAGAAUAAGCACCGGCUAACUUCGUGCCAGCCGCCGCUGUAACAC